UACGUAGGGGGCAAGCGUUGUCCGGAAUCAUUGGGCGUAAAGAGCGUGUAGGCGGCCCGGUAAGUCCGCUGUGAAAGUCCAGGGCUCAACCCUGGGAUGCCGGUGGAUACUGUCGGGCUCGAGUCCGGAAGAGGAGUGUGGAAUUCCUGGUAUAGCGGUGAAAUGCGCAGAUAUCAGGAGGAACACCAAUGGCGAAGGCAGCACUCUGGGACGUGACUGACGCUGAGACGCGAAAGCGUGGGGAGCAAACAGG
rnacentral:rRNA from 1 species